rnacentral:hammerhead_ribozyme from 1 species
AUCCAUCUGACGAGCCCCAAACAGGGCAAAACGCGCAUCUUGGAU